GACGAACCGUGCGAACGUUAUUCGGAAUCACUGGGCUUAAAGCGCGUGUAGGCGGAUGGGAACGUCGGUAGUUGAAAGCCCCGGCUCAACCGGGAAGUGGUGCCGAAACGACCCGUCUGGAGGGACGUAGGGGACCUGGAACUUCCGGUGGAGCGGUGAAAUGCGUUGAGAUCGGAAGGAACGCCCGUGGCGAAAGCGAGGUCCUGGACGUCUACUGACGCUGAGA
rnacentral:rRNA from 1 species